rnacentral:tRNA from 1 species
UCCCUGGCAGUCCAGUGGUUAGGACUCUGCGCUGUCACUGCCAUGGCCUAGGUUCAAUCCCUGGUUGGGGAA